CCAGGCGGAAGGGCCUUGCGGGUUGUGUUCUCAGCAAGGAGGAGCCGGGAGAGAGGUGCGGGAGCCGCCAAGGUCUCAGGCAAGGUCAGGGACUGACGGCAGGAAAGUUGGGGGAGCAGCAUCAGAGGAUAACGGGCCCAAGGCUCUGGGCUCACCGCAGGCACUCCCUCGCCUUCUCCGCCUCUUCCCGGGGCCCAGUGCUGCCCCCUGCCUGCUUCACAGGAGCCCCAGGAAGCUCCGAUCUUCCUUCUCUAGGCUCAAAACCCCUGCCAUGGAGAAGGGGGGAAUACAAGUUUUAUCUAUGGAACUGGAGGUUACUUGUUGAAGUCCCCUGAUGUGGGGGGAAAAACCAACGCAGCCCUAAUCCUGAAGCUGAGGGUAUCUGUGAGGCCCUGGUCCAGAGGGCAGGCAAAGGCAGGGAUUGAGGCCUGCUCUCCCCAGUGCUGAGGAUAGAAAGCUGUUUCUCCAGGCCUCCAGAGCACAGUCUCAAGGGAUGCCCGCCCCACACCACCGCGGCGGGCGAGGUUGCCUUUCAGGCGGUCCAGAAGCAGUUGGCUGUGU
ensembl:lncRNA novel transcript